rnacentral:rRNA from 1 species
UUAAGCGACUAAGCGUACACGGUGGAUGCCCUGGCAGUCAGAGGCGAUGAAGGACGUGCUAAUCUGCGAUAAGCGUCGGUGAGGUGAUAUGAACCGUUAUAACCGGCGAUUUCCGAAUGGGGAAACCCAGUGUGUUUCGACACACUAUCAUUAACUGAAUCCAUAGGUUAAUGAGGCGAACCGGGGGAACUGAAACAUCUAAGUACCCCGAGGAAAAGAAAUCAACCGAGAUUCCCCCAGUAGCGGCGAGCGAACGGGGAGGAGCCCAGAGCCUGAAUCAGUGUGUGUGUUAGUGGAAGCGUCUGGAAAGGCGUGCGAUACAGGGUGACAGCCCCGUACACAAAAAUGCACAUAUUGUGAGCUCGAUGAGUAGGGCGGGACACGUGGUAUCCUGUCUGAAUAUGGGGGGACCAUCCUCCAAGGCUAAAUACUCCUGACUGACCGAUAGUGAACCAGUACCGUGAGGGAAAGGCGAAAAGAACCCCGGCGAGGGGAGUGAAAAAGAACCUGAAACCGUGUACGUACAAGCAGUGGGAGCCUCUUAAUGGGGUGACUGCGUACCUUUUGUAUAAUGGGUCAGCGACUUAUAUUCUGUAGCAAGGUUAACCGAAUAGGGGAGCCGAAGGGAAACCGAGUCUUAACUGGGCGUUAAGUUGCAGGGUAUAGACCCGAAACCCGGUGAUCUAGCCAUGGGCAGGUUGAAGGUUGGGUAACACUAACUGGAGGACCGAACCGACUAAUGUUGAAAAAUUAGCGGAUGACUUGUGGCUGGGGGUGAAAGGCCAAUCAAACCGGGAGAUAGCUGGUUCUCCCCGAAAGCUAUUUAGGUAGCGCCUCGUGAAUUCAUCUCCGGGGGUAGAGCACUGUUUCGGCAAGGGGGUCAUCCCGACUUACCAACCCGAUGCAAACUGCGAAUACCGGAGAAUGUUAUCACGGGAGACACACGGCGGGUGCUAACGUCCGUCGUGAAGAGGGAAACAACCCAGACCGCCAGCUAAGGUCCCAAAGUCAUGGUUAAGUGGGAAACGAUGUGGGAAGGCCCAGACAGCCAGGAUGUUGGCUUAGAAGCAGCCAUCAUUUAAAGAAAGCGUAAUAGCUCACUGGUCGAGUCGGCCUGCGCGGAAGAUGUAACGGGGCUAAACCAUGCACCGAAGCUGCGGCAGCGACACUAUGUGUUGUUGGGUAGGGGAGCGUUCUGUAAGCCUGUGAAGGUGGCCUGUGAGGGUUGCUGGAGGUAUCAGAAGUGCGAAUGCUGACAUAAGUAACGAUAAAGCGGGUGAAAAGCCCGCUCGCCGGAAGACCAAGGGUUCCUGUCCAACGUUAAUCGGGGCAGGGUGAGUCGACCCCUAAGGCGAGGCCGAAAGGCGUAGUCGAUGGGAAACAGGUUAAUAUUCCUGUACUUGGUCUUACUGCGAAGGGGGGACGGAGAAGGCUAUGUUGGCCGGGCGACGGUUGUCCCGGUUUAAGCGUGUAGGCUGGUUUUCCAGGCAAAUCCGGAAAACCAAGGCUGAGGCGUGAUGACGAGGCACUACGGUGCUGAAGCGACAAAUGCCCUGCUUCCAGGAAAAGCCUCUAAGCAUCAGGUAACAUCAAAUCGUACCCCAAACCGACACAGGUGGUCAGGUAGAGAAUACCAAGGCGCUUGAGAGAACUCGGGUGAAGGAACUAGGCAAAAUGGUGCCGUAACUUCGGGAGAAGGCACGCUGAUAUGUAGGUGAAGCGACUUGCUCGUGGAGCUGAAAUCAGUCGAAGAUACCAGCUGGCUGCAACUGUUUAUUAAAAACACAGCACUGUGCAAACACGAAAGUGGACGUAUACGGUGUGACGCCUGCCCGGUGCCGGAAGGUUAAUUGAUGGGGUUAGCGGCAACGCGAAGCUCUUGAUCGAAGCCCCGGUAAACGGCGGCCGUAACUAUAACGGUCCUAAGGUAGCGAAAUUCCUUGUCGGGUAAGUUCCGACCUGCACGAAUGGCGUAAUGAUGGCCAGGCUGUCUCCACCCGAGACUCAGUGAAAUUGAACUCGCUGUGAAGAUGCAGUGUACCCGCGGCAAGACGGAAAGACCCCGUGAACCUUUACUAUAGCUUGACACUGAACAUUGAGCCUUGAUGUGUAGGAUAGGUGGGAGGCUUUGAAGUGUGGACGCCAGUCUGCAUGGAGCCGACCUUGAAAUACCACCCUUUAAUGUUUGAUGUUCUAACGUUGGCCCGUAAUCCGGGUUGCGGACAGUGUCUGGUGGGUAGUUUGACUGGGGCGGUCUCCUCCUAAAGAGUAACGGAGGAGCACGAAGGUUGGCUAAUCCUGGUCGGACAUCAGGAGGUUAGUGCAAUGGCAUAAGCCAGCUUAACUGCGAGCGUGACGGCGCGAGCAGGUGCGAAAGCAGGUCAUAGUGAUCCGGUGGUUCUGAAUGGAAGGGCCAUCGCUCAACGGAUAAAAGGUACUCCGGGGAUAACAGGCUGAUACCGCCCAAGAGUUCAUAUCGACGGCGGUGUUUGGCACCUCGAUGUCGGCUCAUCACAUCCUGGGGCUGAAGUAGGUCCCAAGGGUAUGGCUGUUCGCCAUUUAAAGUGGUACGCGAGCUGGGUUUAGAACGUCGUGAGACAGUUCGGUCCCUAUCUGCCGUGGGCGCUGGAGAACUGAGGGGGGCUGCUCCUAGUACGAGAGGACCGGAGUGGACGCAUCACUGGUGUUCGGGUUGUCAUGCCAAUGGCACUGCCCGGUAGCUAAAUGCGGAAGAGAUAAGUGCUGAAAGCAUCUAAGCACGAAACUUGCCCCGAGAUGAGUUCUCCCUGAGACUUAGAGUCUCCUGAAGGAACGUUGAAGACGACGACGUUGAUAGGCCGGGUGUGUAAGCGCAGCGAUGCGUUGAGCUAACCGGUACUAAUGAACCGUGAGGCUUAACCUU